rnacentral:rRNA from 1 species
GACGAACGCUGGCGGCGUGCUUAACACAUGCAAGUCGAACGGAAAGGCCCUGCUUGCAGGGUACUCGAGUGGCGAACGGGUGAGUAACACGUGGGUGAUCUGCCCUGCACUUCGGGAUAAGCCUGGGAAACUGGGGCUAAUACCGGAUAGGAGCCAUUUUUAGUGUGAUGGUUGGAAAGUUUUUUCCGUGUAGGAUGAGCUCGCGGCCUAUCAGCUUGUUGGUGGGGUAAUGGCCUACCAAGGCGGCGACGGGUAGCCGGCCUGUGGGGGUGGACGGCCACAUUGGGACUGAGAUACGGCCCAGACUCCUACGGGAGGCAGCAGUGGGGAAUAUUGCACAAUGGGCGCGAGCCUGAUGCAGCGACGCCGCGUGGGGGAUGACGGCCUUCGGGUUGUAAACUCCUUUCGCUAGGGACGAAGCUUUUUGUGACGGUACCUAGAUAAGAAGCACCGGCUAACUACGUG